rnacentral:rRNA from 1 species
AGAGUUUGAUCCUGGCUCAGAAUCAACGCUGGCGGCGCGCUUAACACAUGCAAGUCGAACGGGAAAGUGGAGCAAUCCAUGAGUACAGUGGCGUACGGGUGAGUAACACGUGGGUAAUCUGCCUUCUGGUGGGGAAUAACUUUGGGAAACCGAAGCUAAUACCGCAUAAGCCUGGGAAGGGAAAGCAGGAAACUGCGCCGGAAGAGGAGCCCGCGGCCGAUUAGCUGGCUGGUGAGGUAAAGGCUCACCAGGGCGAAGAUCGGUAGCCGGCCUGAGAGGGCACACGGCCACACUGGCACUGAAACACGGGCCAGACUCCUACGGGAGGCAGCAGUGGGGAAUCUUGCACAAUGGGGGCAACCCUGAUGCAGCGACGCCGCGUGAGCGAUGAAGCCCUUCGGGGUGUAAAGCUCUUUCGACGGGAACGAUAAUGACGGUACCCGGAGAAGAAGCUGCGGCUAACUACGUGCCAGCAGCCGCGGUAAUACGUAGGCAGCAAGCGUUGUUCGGAGUUACUGGGCGUAAAGAGUGUGUAGGCGGUUUGCCGUGUCUGGUGUGAAAUCUCCCGGCUUAACCGGGAGGGUGCGCCGGAAACUGGCAGGCUUGGAGCGUGGGAGAGGAAAGCGGAAUUCCCGGUGUAGCGGUGAAAUGCGUAGAUAUCGGGAGGAACCCUGCGGUGUAGACGGCUUUCUGGACCACUGCUGACGCUGAGACACGAAAGCGUGGGGAGCAAACAGGAUUAGAUACCCCCGUAGUCC